rnacentral:lncRNA from 1 species
CACACUUUGAUUAUUGAAUAAAUUUCAUUGCCUUUGGUAGAACUUUAACAAGUGAGAAUUCUUAUUCUUCUUGUUGCAUUAAGAAUUGAAUUAAUUUAUCAAGCUAUCUUGUGGUGUUUAUUCAUUCUUGCUUCUUUCAUCCCAAUCACCCAAGUUCUCAAUUGCAGGUUAGUUGUGGGUUUGGUAGGGAUGAUUUAUUUAGGGGUUUAAGUUAUCUAUGCU